UAUAACAAUAGUCGACUCUAGAAUCGACUCUGUCUCCUCUAAUACAAAAUAUGGCUUCCGAUGUAGUAUUGCUAUGUUAUUCAACACGGUUAAUACUAGAAUUGGUUAAUCAUUCCAAAACUAAAUCGUGAAAAAUCAAUAUUAAAGGAAAAAAGGUUCAUGUUUUGCGCAUGCGUGAUAUGCUGUGAAUGUCUCACACAGAAACAACGACAUCUCUAUCCGUCUGCCUGUCUUGCAAAAACGGAAAUAUCGUUUUCUUUCAUGUUAAACUUUCAAUUCAAUCGUAUAUCAGUAGAGUUCAAUUGAAAACAUGAGAUCGCGCUGCACGAUGGAAACUGAAAUUUGAAAAAUAGUGUACCACAGCUGACGAGUAUUUACAACUCGAUCGGAGCGCCGAUACUGGGAAUUGGGAAAACGCACCGCGUCGCUAAAAGGAAUUAUCUCACCACGGGAAUUCCCAGAACACCUAUCUCCUUCGUUAGUAACGAUUUAAAGUGUAAAAAUUUAUCUGAUGCGUAAAACAGAGUAAUCCAUACAGUAGACUUAGAGUAUCAAAUUUUAAAUAAGUCUUAAACAUUUAUGCCUGGACUGAAAAUCAUUGUAUUUCGUCUCUAUUUGUCGGGUCAUUGAGGCCCGACUGCUCGUUUUCAUCAUUUUUCUCGUUAUAUAUUACAUUUACAUCAUAACAAGGUAAUUAAGAAGGUUUCGUCAAAAUCCACGAGGGCGUCAUACAUCGACAGAUUCAUUGAUAAAGGAAUAGGGGUCUGGCUAUUUCUGAUAUUUUCAACAUAGUCAUAGAAAUGAGUACGCGUAUUGGCCGAAAGUGCCAUAUAUACAAAUAAUACAAUACGCAGUAACGCAUAACGAUAGAGAGCAGUAACUUCCUUGCUUCUGUGGCCCGUUGGGUCGUUAACACUGCAUAGUACGUACGUACAUAGGAAGGAUGAUAUGAGAUAAAUAAUGAUCAAUGUUGGAUCUAGAAAUUUGGGAGUAAUUUUUAAAUUCACCGGUCGAAAAUUAUCACAUAACAUAAAUAAAAACUAUAAAUAAAAGUUGUG
rnacentral:lncRNA from 1 species